rfam:Brassica oleracea var. oleracea cultivar TO1000 chromosome C8, whole genome shotgun sequence
GAAAUAUAAAAACCCGUCUCUUAAUUUUUAACUAAAAAAACUAAGAACCGGUUCUUAAAUAAGAGUUUUAAGAGCCGGUUAUCAACUUUUUUAGUUAAAAGUUAAGAGACGAAUUCUUAUAUUCU